rnacentral:rRNA from 1 species
AUUGAACGCUGGCGGCAUGCCUUACACAUGCAAGUCGAACGGUAACAGGUUAAGCUGACGAGUGGCGAACGGGUGAGUAAUACAUCGGAACGUGCCCAGUAGUGGGGGAUAGCCCGGCGAAAGCCGGAUUAAUACCGCAUACGACCUACGGGUGAAAGGGGGGGAUCGCAAGACCUCUCGCUAUUGGAGCGGCCGAUGUCAGAUUAGGUAGUUGGUGGGGUAAAGGCCUACCAAGCCUACGAUCUGUAGCUGGUCUGAGAGGACGACCAGCCACACUGGGACUGAGACACGGCCCAGACUCCUACGGGAGGCAGCAGUGGGGAAUUUUGGACAAUGGGCGCAAGCCUGAUCCAGCCAUGCCGCGUGCGGGAAGAAGGCCUUCGGGUUGUAAACCGCUUUUGUCAGGGAAGAAACGCUCUGGGUUAAUACCUCGGAGUAAUGACGGUACCUGAAGAAUAAGCACCGGCUAACUACGUGCCAGCAGCCGCGGUAACAC